UUUGAGAACAGGAGAAAGAGAAGUUAGGAGACAAAGGAAGAGAAGGAAGAAGGUGAGGACGAUGAUGGAGAAGAGGGAAGGGAAGGGGAGGGGGAGGAGGAGGAGGGAGAUGGAGGAAGGACACCAGCACUAAAGUCAAAACACACACAGAAGAGCCAUGUUGUGUUACACAUGAGCAGUGCACUGUGGACCAUGGAAUGGUUAUGUUCCAACCCCUGUUUCAGUAAUGCCAAGGCAAAGCUUCGACAGUUUGCUCAUCAAGAUCCUCCUGUGAGUCAGCCUGGUCCCCUGAGGGGCUUCGCAAUGAUAGGAGGAAAGCGCUCAGGGUCCCUGGCAGUCCUCCCCACAAGCUUUGAAAUUAAUGGAAAUUUCAUGGCUUUCUCUCUAAUACGGUCUUUUUAUUCUGAGUAUAAAAUAAUGAUGUUUUCUGCUUUUCACAGUUUCAAGAUUCGAAGAUGUGCCAUGCCAGGCUUGAUAGCACCUGGGCCUAUGGCAUUCGAGUGAGCCAAGG
rnacentral:lncRNA from 1 species